rnacentral:sRNA from 1 species
GUAAGGAACCACUACUUUAGCUUAUGGAAACCAGUUGCGGUUUUAGUUCUUAUACUCAAUCAUACACAUAACAUCUAGUCAGAUUUGACUCCAAAAUACUAACCAAGCUUCUUAUUGCUUUU